rnacentral:lncRNA from 1 species
UGCGUCUCAGUUUGCCUCAGACUUAAGUGGCUGGUGGAAGUGAGAGAUCUCUAAAGAUUCACCCAAUCCCAUUGUUCUAAGGUAAUAAAUCCUAUAAUUGCUGUAUCCUCAGAACCCAGCACGGGGCACUGCAUACGGUAGAUCUGCUUAACCAUGUACCAAAUGCAUCCGCCUCUUCCCCAACAUCCAUUACUACUGGAACCCACCAAGAACUGAAUUCCAUGGUACUUCUCAGGAUUCUUGAGGUCUGGACUAAGCCCUGGAUUGGGAAAGACGUGUUUAUGAUGCAGACCAGUUGGGGAGAUUUUUCUUGAAGGAGCAGCAGCUUGGGAAUAGCUGACCUGGUGAGAGCAUUCCUCUUCAUCUUGGCUCUGUCUGCUGUAGUUGGGGGUGCAGAUCCUGAGACUCAGAGAGGUUAAGAAACUCGCCCAACGCCACACAGCUAGAUAAACACCUCAGGAUUUAAAUAGAUUGCAGGGGACACCAACAAGGCUCUGCUCAGAUCCCCUCAGAUCCCUCUGGCCCAUCUGUGCAUGCAGUAACAUCUGCUUCACCGUUGACUGCUUGAACCUGUGGAUCCACUUCACCUAAGAGCACAGAGAGCUGAAAGGGCCUGGAAUCCUGUUGCCUCCCGGGCAGCCUGCAGCCAAUGAGUAACUGGUGCUGGAAAACAGAAGGCUGCUCCCUUGCUGGAGUGAACAUGCAUUAUUUGUGUAAUAAACAGAAACAAAAAUCUCGUUGUUUAAAGCCAUCCAUGAAGACCAUGUGAGAGGGUGGAAAAGGGAGGCUGGAUUCUACUAAUUGGAUUGGAGGAAGAUGUAGCAAGGAAGAAGAAAUGGGCCCUUGGCAUGUGGCAGGGAGGGGACCUACUUAAUCAAACUCAAUGAUAACAGGAGUAACGGUGAUUAAACUUCUUUGAUUCAAC